UACGUAGGUGGCAAGCGUUGUCCGGAUUUACUGGGCGUAAAGAGCGCGCAGGCGGUCGGAUAAGUCGAAUGUGAAAGCCCCCGGCUCAACUGGGGAGGGUCACGCGAUACUGCUCGACUCGAAGGCAGGAGAGGGAAGUGGAAUUCCCGGUGUAGUGGUGAAAUGCGUAGAUAUCGGGAGGAACACCAGUGGCGAAGGCGACUUCCUGGCCUGUUCUUGACGCUGAGGCGCGAAAGCUAGGGUAGCAAACGGG
rnacentral:rRNA from 1 species